CAUCCACCAGCUGCGGAGACUAGCCAAUCAGAGAAGAAAUUAGUACUAAACGAAUAAUACAAUGGCCGCGGUUGGUGGUUGACCAGGUAUUCCUGUUCUUACCGACUCGGCAGUUGUUUACCACCGACGCUUAAUCGAAUCGUGGAAUGAGAACGAAUGCUGGACAUAUCGGCUCGAGCGGCAAUUCGCCUUAAGUGGCUGCCAGCCGAUUCCAACUCCGCAUAAAUUUUCCCUGGAAUGAAGGAUGAAGCGUUUCCGGGCUUUUUAGCGCCGGGGGUGGGCUUUCCAAAAUUUUCUGGUUGGGCUGCGCUACUAAACUGUUCCGAUGGGGUAAAGACGCUUCGGAGGGGCAAAUUUUCGGCCACGGCCGAGAAACCGGAGGACUCGAACAGUCCGCGGCGGGAUCCGCCAGUCACACCGACUAAUUGUAGAAAAUUUGGCGCCCAUAUUUUCCAAAAGUGGUGGACAGUUAUUUGGGACAGCCAAACUUCAGAUUAGCCGACGGUUAAUCGACCAGACGCUACUUAUUUCAUUUCCCUCACUCUGACAGCGGACGGAAAGGAGCCCG
rnacentral:lncRNA from 1 species